CAAAAAAGCACCUCAGUUUACAGGAAAUCAACCCGCAACCCUGUUUUAGUGGCACCCAGAGAAAACGUUUCACUUUUACAAACAAACCCUAUAGGCAUUUCAAUUCUGUCCGCAGUCCUUUCCUUCCUCUUAUCCACUCUGCGUCGGCGGCUACGCCCAUCCCGUCGUGCGCCGGCGGCCGCCGUGCCUUGCGCGGGCGGAUGGAGUGCGCUCGCCGGGAGGAUGGAUAGCGCGGAGAGGCGCGUUCGCGCUCUAGAUCCUGUGCGCGGGCCUCGCGCCUCCUUGCACCGCUCCCGCGGCCACUCGCCACCCGCCGUUGCCGGCGACCACAAGCAGCAACCGUCGCACCUCCCCGCGCGCCACCCGAGGCCCCAGCCACGCCGCGCCGCCGUCCUCCGCAACCCCGGCCUCCUCCUCGACCUCGCCUCUCCGUGCGAACAAACGGCGUCGCCGCCGGCGGCCAAGGCCACCGUGCUUGAGCUGACGGGCGCCGACCUCAUGAGGCUCAUCUCCGAGGUGUUCGCCGUGCUGGCCGACAUCAGCUGCAGCAUCGUGAUGCCAGGGCGUGGUCGCAUCGCGGCCGCCUCGCCUGCCUCGUCUACCUGCGGGACGAGGAUGUGGCCGCUGCCGGUGUGGAGCGCAUCGAGGCCCGCCUCGCCCCCCUCCUCCGCGGAGACUCGGAAGCCAGCGGUCACCAAAACUUCUGCUCCCAAGGCCCCCUUUUCCAUCCGCCGUCACCGCGCUCCGAGCGUGAAAUCCUCAGCUUCAGGCUGCCGUCAGAGGAGCCGCCUCCGGAGAGGAACGACGGGGCUUGGAUGAGCAUGUGGAAGGUGCGGACCUGCACGAGGCGCCGACCAAGACGGGCUGUUCUUAUCCGUUGCCUACUUCCUAAGCAACUCCGUCUCCAUCGAGCUUCUUUUUUCCGUUGCCAAUAGUCAUCUCCUCCUUAAGAUGGGGAUUAGAAGCCGGCAGGAAAACUAUGGUUCCCGGAUGAAAAAGAGGCGCAUAAAAGUUGCAAAUUUUGAAUAGCAAUUCCUAUGUAUAUAUGAAUGUGCUAAUGGAGGGCUGUGUUGCAGGACUGAUUGGAGGCAACCAAAUCUUGGAGAAUGAUGGAAGAUAAUGGACUCCAGCUUUUAGGAAUGUUAUAUAAGGAUCCAAUUUCAAGCUUUGGACUGUUCCAUAAAUUUGCUGUUGAGAAUCAGGAGCCUCCUAGGUGAUCAUUGCAUAGGUCUACUGGAAAUUGGUGCCAGAGGAGCUCUCGAUGAAGUUCCUACGAGAACCAAAAUCAAUUCUAGAUGCAUCAGAUAUAUCAAUGGAGGAAGCAUGGUUCCCAGGUGCAGUGCUAACAUUGCUGAAUGUUGUCUGCUACCAUAGCCUUCCUAAAACAGGACAACACAAUUAUUAUCUGGAGGGACGAGGGAUCUGAUGAUUAUCCAGUGAACUGUAUGUCUUUGUAGGACCUUCGCACUCAACUGAUGUAUGCAUCUGUUAUCAAACUGAGAGUAGGAGGUAUGCAUAAACCUUUAAUUUUGGGAGACAUAACCACUCUUCGAAUCUUAGCCAGAUUCUUCCAUCUCUAGGAUUUAACUUUCUGUGAAAAGAAUUUCAUGAACACGCAAAGAUUGCCAACUAAACUUUGUACAAAAAAGGUAGACGUGAUAAAUCUAUUUAUCUCUCGCCGAACUACUCUGAAUUUUGUGGUACCUGGUGAAGAUUAAGAAAAUAUAUGCCCUGCUAUAUUUAGUGAUAAAUAAGAUACCAAAUGUGACUAAAUAGUUCUGCUUAAGCGUAUGUACCUGCACUCUUUUCAUAUGGUAUUGUCAAAACUUCGGCUGAGAAUAUAUUAAUAGUUGUUUCAAAAUGUUUCCUGUUCAGUCAAGACCUUUGGGACAUUACCAAACGCUAUUGGACAAGAAGAUUGAUGGUUUUCAGCAAGUAAGAUAAUAGUUCAAGUAUCGAAGGGACGUACGACUUUUGGUGCAUUGUUAGGAAAAUUGUAUUGAGUGUAUUUCACGUUUCUGCUCUGUCUCCAUUUUGCUAUGUCCUUGAAGUUCUUAUGUCACUUGCUAUUUUGAGUGCCCACUAUCAUCUGAACAUGAAGUAACAUGAGAAGUCAAAGUUUUGUGCAUGCCUUUUCUUUAAUAUGUUCAGAUUUAUAGCUCAUGAGAGUAAUGCUUAAGAUUGAUAUUUUAGAUACCAUUUUUGUAUUUAAAGUGCAGGCCGAAUUUCUUACUCCUAUAACUAAACCAAUAUAUGCUAGCUACUUUGUGUCAGGCGUACUUUUUGGUUUCGUUCAUGGUGCAGGUUAGCUGGUUAUUUACAAGUGUGUGGAGCAUCCAAAAUUCAAGUAAGAACACCAUGCUUCCUUGGUGUGUCCAUAAAUAUAUCUCCAUGCUGGAGCUGUCAGAUGAGUACGGGUCAAAUGAAGAAUGACAAAAACGCCCAUGACUAUUUCAAACUGUUUUAUUUUUCCUACAUUCAGCCAACCGGAGUAUCCUGCUCUCCCUUCUAUAGGUUCUACAGUACAUCUAAAUCCUUAUUCUGUCGAAUCAGGUACUUGCAUUCUAUUGUUCAAGAUGUGUAAUUUUUCUGUUGAUUAACAAAAUCAUUGACUUAUGAAAGAACUCUUAUUGACGAAAGUGUACAUGCAAUGAGUUAUGCAGUUCACAUA